CCGGAGCCCAGCGGGCCGAGCUGCCCCGGGGACUCGCUGAGAUAUACGCAUCCGCUGAGCGUGCUCAGCUCCGCAGACUCGUAGCCAGGGCGCCGUGCCCACCGCGGGCCAGCCGCUUCCGCGCGGAAACACCUCCUGCCCGAGGGGCUCCAACAUGGCAACGUCGGACCCACAAACUUUCGUACACACUGACACUCAGCUGCCACGCCUCCCACCUGCCCCCGCCGCCUGGCUGCGCUUCUGGACUUUCCGCCUGGAUCCCGGAGCCCCUUUCCUCCGGGCUCCUGAGUACGCGGCUCUUGCGCCCCCUCGCGGCCUGAUUUUCCCAACGCACGGAGUCCUGGACAGAUAAAGCAGCACCCCAUCCUCAAAAAAGCGGGGAGUUAGGAAAACUUCGUUUCAGCCGUUACCUAAUCCCCUUAGUCUUUUUCAGACCUUCGCAAAGCGCACUGCUCCUCUUUAGGCCUUACACACAAAAGGAGCUUUGACGGGAACGCCCUUGACUUCCCACUGCCAAACCUAUGCUCUUACCUGCAGCUGCUCUACCUUCCUGGCAGGGAAAGUGUAGGUUGUUUCUCCGGCUUCACGCUGAUCCCUCGCUUGAGCUCCCCUCCCGCUCCUGCCCCCUUAUGGCGCGUCUCGCAAUGUUCUGGGUAUUGGGGCAUCAUCCCUUUCCCCACCCCAACCUACCUCUAGAUCCCAUUCAUCCUAACUCCACAACUCAAAUGCAUGACCCUAUAUAUGAAUGAAGGAACAAAUGAAAAUGUGUGGUGUACCUAUGA